rnacentral:rRNA from 1 species
UACGAAGGGGGCUAGCGUUGCUCGGAAUCACUGGGCGUAAAGGGUGCGUAGGCGGGUCUUUAAGUCAGGGGUGAAAUCCUGGAGCUCAACUCCAGAACUGCCUUUGAUACUGAGAGCUUGAGUCCGGGAGAGGUGAGUGGAACUGCGAGUGUAGAGGUGAAAUUCGUAGAUAUUCGCAAGAACACCAGUGGCGAAGGCGGCUCACUGGCCCGGUACUGACGCUGAGGUGCGAAAGCGUGGGGAGCAAACAGGG